CUUGUACUCCCUCUGUCCGAAAAUACUUGUCAUUGAAAUGGAUGUAUCUAGAUGUAUUUUAGUUCUAGACACAUCCAUUUUGAUGACAAGUAAUUCCGGAAGGAGGGAGUACUUG
rfam:Triticum aestivum genome assembly, contig: Triticum_aestivum_CS42_TGACv1_scaffold_344307_4DL